GGUUAAGCGACUAAGCGUACACGGUGGAUGCCCUGGCAGUCAGAGGCGAUGAAGGACGUGCUAAUCUGCGAUAAGCGUCGGUAAGGUGAUAUGAACCGUUAUAACCGGCGAUUUCCGAAUGGGGAAACCCAGUGUGUUUCGACACACUAUCAUUAACUGAAUCCAUAGGUUAAUGAGGCGAACCGGGGGAACUGAAACAUCUAAGUACCCCGAGGAAAAGAAAUCAACCGAGAUUCCCCCAGUAGCGGCGAGCGAACGGGGAGCAGCCCAGAGCCUGAAUCAGUGUGUGUGUUAGUGGAAGCGUCUGGAAAGGCGCGCGAUACAGGGUGACAGCCCCGUACACAAAAAUGCACAUACUGUGAGCUCGAUGAGUAGGGCGGGACACGUGGUAUCCUGUCUGAAUAUGGGGGGACCAUCCUCCAAGGCUAAAUACUCCUGACUGACCGAUAGUGAACCAGUACCGUGAGGGAAAGGCGAAAAGAACCCCGGCGAGGGGAGUGAAAAAGAACCUGAAACCGUGUACGUACAAGCAGUGGGAGCACGCUUAGGCGUGUGACUGCGUACCUUUUGUAUAAUGGGUCAGCGACUUAUAUUCUGUAGCAAGGUUAACCGAAUAGGGGAGCCGAAGGGAAACCGAGUCUUAACUGGGCGUUAAGUUGCAGGGUAUAGACCCGAAACCCGGUGAUCUAGCCAUGGGCAGGUUGAAGGUUGGGUAACACUAACUGGAGGACCGAACCGACUAAUGUUGAAAAAUUAGCGGAUGACUUGUGGCUGGGGGUGAAAGGCCAAUCAAACCGGGAGAUAGCUGGUUCUCCCCGAAAGCUAUUUAGGUAGCGCCUCGUGAAUUCAUCUCCGGGGGUAGAGCACUGUUUCGGCAAGGGGGUCAUCCCGACUUACCAACCCGAUGCAAACUGCGAAUACCGGAGAAUGUUAUCACGGGAGACACACGGCGGGUGCUAACGUCCGUCGUGAAGAGGGAAACAACCCAGACCGCCAGCUAAGGUCCCAAAGUCAUGGUUAAGUGGGAAACGAUGUGGGAAGGCCCAGACAGCCAGGAUGUUGGCUUAGAAGCAGCCAUCAUUUAAAGAAAGCGUAAUAGCUCACUGGUCGAGUCGGCCUGCGCGGAAGAUGUAACGGGGCUAAACCAUGCACCGAAGCUGCGGCAGCGACACUAUGUGUUGUUGGGUAGGGGAGCGUUCUGUAAGCCUGUGAAGGUGUGCUGUGAGGCAUGCUGGAGGUAUCAGAAGUGCGAAUGCUGACAUAAGUAACGAUAAAGCGGGUGAAAAGCCCGCUCGCCGGAAGACCAAGGGUUCCUGUCCAACGUUAAUCGGGGCAGGGUGAGUCGACCCCUAAGGCGAGGCCGAAAGGCGUAGUCGAUGGGAAACAGGUUAAUAUUCCUGUACUUGGUGUUACUGCGAAGGGGGGACGGAGAAGGCUAUGUUGGCCGGGCGACGGUUGUCCCGGUUUAAGCGUGUAGGCUGGUUUUCCAGGCAAAUCCGGAAAAUCAAGGCUGAGGCGUGAUGACGAGGCACUACGGUGCUGAAGCAACAAAUGCCCUGCUUCCAGGAAAAGCCUCUAAGCAUCAGGUAACAUCAAAUCGUACCCCAAACCGACACAGGUGGUCAGGUAGAGAAUACCAAGGCGCUUGAGAGAACUCGGGUGAAGGAACUAGGCAAAAUGGUGCCGUAACUUCGGGAGAAGGCACGCUGAUAUGUAGGUGAAGUCCCUUGCGGAUGGAGCUGAAAUCAGUCGAAGAUACCAGCUGGCUGCAACUGUUUAUUAAAAACACAGCACUGUGCAAACACGAAAGUGGACGUAUACGGUGUGACGCCUGCCCGGUGCCGGAAGGUUAAUUGAUGGGGUCAGCGCAAGCGAAGCUCUUGAUCGAAGCCCCGGUAAACGGCGGCCGUAACUAUAACGGUCCUAAGGUAGCGAAAUUCCUUGUCGGGUAAGUUCCGACCUGCACGAAUGGCGUAAUGAUGGCCAGGCUGUCUCCACCCGAGACUCAGUGAAAUUGAACUCGCUGUGAAGAUGCAGUGUACCCGCGGCAAGACGGAAAGACCCCGUGAACCUUUACUAUAGCUUGACACUGAACAUUGAGCCUUGAUGUGUAGGAUAGGUGGGAGGCUUUGAAGUGUGGACGCCAGUCUGCAUGGAGCCGACCUUGAAAUACCACCCUUUAAUGUUUGAUGUUCUAACGUUGACCCGUAAUCCGGGUUGCGGACAGUGUCUGGUGGGUAGUUUGACUGGGGCGGUCUCCUCCUAAAGAGUAACGGAGGAGCACGAAGGUUGGCUAAUCCUGGUCGGACAUCAGGAGGUUAGUGCAAUGGCAUAAGCCAGCUUGACUGCGAGCGUGACGGCGCGAGCAGGUGCGAAAGCAGGUCAUAGUGAUCCGGUGGUUCUGAAUGGAAGGGCCAUCGCUCAACGGAUAAAAGGUACUCCGGGGAUAACAGGCUGAUACCGCCCAAGAGUUCAUAUCGACGGCGGUGUUUGGCACCUCGAUGUCGGCUCAUCACAUCCUGGGGCUGAAGUAGGUCCCAAGGGUAUGGCUGUUCGCCAUUUAAAGUGGUACGCGAGCUGGGUUUAGAACGUCGUGAGACAGUUCGGUCCCUAUCUGCCGUGGGCGCUGGAGAACUGAGGGGGGCUGCUCCUAGUACGAGAGGACCGGAGUGGACGCAUCACUGGUGUUCGGGUUGUCAUGCCAAUGGCACUGCCCGGUAGCUAAAUGCGGAAGAGAUAAGUGCUGAAAGCAUCUAAGCACGAAACUUGCCCCGAGAUGAGUUCUCCCUGACCCUUUAAGGGUCCUGAAGGAACGUUGAAGACGACGACGUUGAUAGGCCGGGUGUGUAAGCGCAGCGAUGCGUUGAGCUAACCGGUACUAAUGAACCGUGAGGCUUAACCUU
rnacentral:rRNA from 1 species